AUUGAACGCUGGCGGCAGGCCUAACACAUGCAAGUCGAGCGAGCGGCGGACGGGUGAGUAAUGUCUGGGAAAAUGCCUGAUGGAGGGGGAUAACUACUGGAAAAGGUAGCUAAUACCGCAUACCAUCAGAUGUGCCGAGAUGGGAGUAGCUGGUAGGUGGGGUAACGGCUCACCUAGGCGACGAUCCCUAGCUGGUCUGAGAGGAUGACCAGCCCCAUUGGACCUGAGCCACGCUCCAGACUCCUCCGGGAGGCAGCGUUGGGGAAUUUUGCACAAUGGGCGCAAUCCUGAGGCAGCCCUGCCGCGUGUGGUAAGAAGGCCUUCGGUUUGUAAAGCACUUUCAGCGGGGAGGCGUUACCCGCAGAAGAAGCACCGGCUAACUCCGUGCCAGCAGCCGCGGUAAUAC
rnacentral:rRNA from 1 species